rnacentral:rRNA from 1 species
GACAGAGGGUGCAAACGUUGCUCGGAAUCACUGGGCGUAAAGGGCGUGUAGGCGGGAAUGUAAGUCGGGCGUGAAAGCCCCAGGCUCAACCUGGGAACUGCACUCGAAACUGCGUUUCUUGAGUAUCGGAGAGGAAAGCGGAAUACCUGGUGUAGAGGUGAAAUUCGUAGAUAUCAGGUGGAACACCAGUGGCGAAGGCGGCUCACUGGCCCGAUACUGACGCUGAGGCACGAAAGCGUGGGGAGCAAACAGG